rnacentral:rRNA from 1 species
UACGUAGGGGGCUAGCGUUGUCCGGAUUUAUUGGGCGUAAAGAGCGUGUAGGCGGCCAGAUAGGUCUGCUGUGAAAACUCGAGGCUCAACCUCGAGAUGUCGGCGGAAACCAUUUGGCUAGAGUCCGGAAGAGGAAAGUGGAAUUCCUGGUGUAGCGGUGAAAUGCGCAGAUAUCAGGAGAAACACCGAUGGCGAAGGCAGCUUGCUGGGACGGUACUGACGCUGAGACGCGAAAGCGUGGGGAGCAAACAGG